ACUAUAGUCGCGGUACAAUUGUUGUUUAUGUAUGUACGUACUACAUGCACGUUAGGUAGAUGAAAUAUUUAUGAUAAACUUAUAUUUUAAUAUUUAGUGAAAAUGUAUCACUUUAAGUAUAAAAACUUCGUUGUGACCUUUAACAUAGUAAGAAAUAUGGCCACUCUUAAAAGAUUUUAUCGAAAGACAAAUAUAUUGCUCAGUGAUGGGAAAUUUGAAAUUACGCUUGAUCAAAGAAAACUCAAAACACCGCAAAGAAAAGUAUUACAAGUGGAUAAUAAACCUUUAGCUUUAGCUAUAGCAGCAGAGUGGGACAUGCAAAAGAAUACUAUUGACAAAAGUAGUAUGCAUCUGACAGCCUUAUGUAAUACUGUGAUAGAUAAUCCUCACAAUCACACAAAGCAAGAUAUGGUAAAUUAUAUUGUGAAUUGUUUAGAAAUGGAUACAAUAUUAUUUCAUUCAUAUGAAAAUGAAGAAUUGUAUAAAUUACAAACUGAAAAUUGGGAUCCACUAGUACAAUGGUUUUGUGACAAUUAUGGAGUAAAUUUAAUUAAAACUCAAAGUAUAGAAGCUCCUACAGUACCUUUAGAAACUAAAGCAAUAUUGACAAGACACUUAAUGUCCCACAAUUACAGUGCCGUUUGUGGUUUUAUGUAUGGAGUGGAUGCAAUCAAAUCUGUAAUUCUUACUCUAGCUGCAGCAGAAAGACUAAUUAGUAUAAAAGAAGCAGUAAGACAGUCGCGUUUGGAGGAAAAUUAUCAAGUUUCUCACUGGGGAUCUGUAGAAUGGUUUCACGAUCAUAAUAAAUUUGAUUUGCAAAGUCGUUUAGCUGCAGCUAUCUUAUUUGUGCAUUUGAAUUCUUACUCUGUGUCACAUCAACCAAAAAUAGAUAAAAAUGUUGAUUAAUUUAUAAAAAUUGAUUGAAUAAAUUUUGUACAUAUAAUGUAUUGGAAUGAAACGAAAUAGUAACAAUAUUUUUAUUAAUUUGAAGUAUGGCAAGAUGGAUUAACAAAAGAUAAUGAUGCCUCUGCUGGACUCGAAUUGGUUAUUGGGUAAAUAGCGGUAUCUGUGCGUAAUUCAAUGUCAAAUAUACAACCGGAAAAUCCAGUAUGAAGGGGUAAAUCGUGAGGUAAAGAUUCAAAGUUUUUCGACUUAUGUCCACCUGAACAGAACAAUACACACACAAUCAUUUUUAUCAAUAAUAUUGUGUACAAAUUACUUUUUAAUAUAAAUUGUGAAAUUAUAAAGGACGAACCGAUAUAAAGUAUCGGUGAUACAUCAAGUCGUGUCAUGGUUCCAAUCACUCGUCCAGUUACAUUACCUAUACCAUCCACUGCAAGCCAUGCAUCUCGACCCUUUCUUCCAACUCUGAUUGUAUAUGCUACGUGAUGUUUACUCGUUGCCAUUGUUGUAGCACUCAAGGGAACAUUUGUGAAAAUUCUACGAACACCUAAAGAACGAAAUUAAACAGGACUAAAAAGUGUUUA